rnacentral:rRNA from 1 species
GCUUGUCUCAAAGAUUAAGCCAUGCAUGUCUAAGUGUAAAUAAGUCUAUACUGUGAAACUGCGAAUGGCUCAUUAAAUCAGUUAUCGUUUAUUUGAUGAUCUCUUACUACUUGGAUAACCGUAGUAAUUCUAGAGCUAAUACAUGCACAAAAUCCCGACUUACGAAGGGAUGUAUUUAUUAGAUACAAACCAACAUCGUGGUGAUUCAUAAUAACUUCUCGAAUCGCACGGCCUUGCGCCGGCGAUGGUUCAUUCAAAUUUCUGCCCUAUCAACUUUCGACGGCUGGGUCUUGGCCAGCCGUGGUGACAACGGGUAACGGAGGGUUAGGGCUCGACCCCGGAGAAGGAGCCUGAGAAACGGCUACUACAUCCAAGGAAGGCAGCAGG